ACAGCUACAGCAUCAACCUCUCCCCGCUGUACACAAGUAAAUUACAGAAUAAAUGAGACACAGUUCAAGGAGUUCCUAUCAGUAACACAACCCAUUGGAGGGGUCAUUAUCCAAUGCAAUAGUAAAGGUCUUGAAUCAUCAUUAUCAAUGUGCAGAAAUGGGUUUUGGGAGAGGCCCUAACCAUUUCAGUGCAGAUACAUCAUGCUUUUAGGAAGAGAAGUUUUUGUUUUAUUCAUAUCUGUCAUGCAGCUUAACUUGUAGAAAAUUUUUGAGCCUACUUCUCUUAUGAAAAAUAAGCUCCUAGUCCAUACAUAAAAAACCUGUUAAUGCGGUUGAUUUGUGCUUCCGAACAUUUUAUAUUUUUCAAAUAAGCUUCUAACCCAUGUUUAUCUUUGAAGUUGACAUAAUGUGUUUCACUUUGCAUUACUUUUUUUUUAUCCUAUGGAAUCAUGAGAAAUGUAAAAUUUCAAAUUGACAAUUGCUACCUUUGUAUCAUGGUUAAGUAUUUAGUUGAGCAUCUAUGUCCAAUAUACCAAACAUGAUGUUACUUAUUAGUCUGCACAGAGGAAUAGGGAGAGAGGGAUAGAAAUAGAUGAGAAAAGAA
rnacentral:misc_RNA from 1 species